rnacentral:lncRNA from 1 species
GAUAUGGAUAAAUUACAUCACAGAUUCAUUAAUUGAGUGUACGUAAGAUCUCAACAGUAUAUAUCACACUUGACGACGACAAAGGUGUUCACUAUAUAUUAUAAGAAAAUUAAGUAAAACUAACGGAAAAAGAAAGAGACAAUGACAAUGACAGAAUAUCAAGCUUCAAAUUACAUAAAAACGAAAAGUGUUAGCUGAGUCGUAAUUUUUCCUGGUUAUGCAACUCUAGUUGUUGAGUUGAGAGUAUGAUGUGAGUAGCCCUUUAUGCCCUGGUCCGUCAGGGCUUGGACCGCUGUUGUCAACAACUAGUUUCCGAAUGGUAUUCUUCUGUGCAUCGAUAUCACCCACAUUAAUCUUCGAGCUUCUCACAACUGUGUGUGAUGACUCCAAAAUGGCUCUCCUAAUUGGUUCUUGAUCAGCAUCUCUAUGUAGCACUAAAGUGUUAAGUGGCCGUGCCAUCCCAUGUUGGAUCUUCACCCAAGAAGAGAACGACAGAAUAAUAACAAUGAAUGCAAAGGAUUGGAGUUUUCCAGCAGCCAUGAUCGACAGGGAGCUAGAUCGAGCAAAGGAAUUAAUAAGGCGAUAUAUAUUGAUGCUUGAAGGUUUAUAUGAUUUUGUUAAUUUGUUGUGAAUAGAAUACCA